AUUGAACGCUGGCGGCAGGCCUAACACAUGCAAGUCGAGCGGCGCGGGGGACGGGUGAGUGAUGCCUAGGAAUCUGCCUGGUCGAGGGGGAUAACGUCCGGCAACGGACGCUAAUAACGCAUGCUAUCAGUUGAGUCUCGGUCGGAUUAGCUAGUUGGUGGGGUAAAGGCCUACCAAGGCGAGGAUCCGUAACUGGUCUGAGAGGAUGAUCAGUCACACUGGAACUGAGACACGGCCCAGACUCCUACGGGAGGCAGCAGUGGGGAAUAUUGGACAAUGGGCGAAAGCCUGAUGCAGCCAUGUCGCGUGUGUGAAGAAGGUCUUCGGAUUGUAAAGUACUUUAAGUUGGGAGGCGUUACCGACAGAAUAAGCACCGGCUAACUCCGUGCCAGCAGCCGCGGUAAUUC
rnacentral:rRNA from 1 species